CAUGUUGUGAUUAUCUUAGUGGA
rnacentral:piRNA from 1 species